rnacentral:lncRNA from 10 species
UUGAAAUAGUGAGUACUCAUGAGAUCUGGUUGUUUUAAUGUGUGGAACCUCCCCUCCCACUCCCUCUUGUUCCUGCUUUUGCCAUGUGACAUGCAAGCUCCUGCUUCACCCCUGCCAUGAGCAAAAGCUUCAUGCGUCCUCCCCAGAAGCCAAGCAGAUGCCGGUACCAUGUUUUCUGUUCAGCCUGCAGAACUAUAGGUCUUGUUAAUGAGACAAGAAACACCUGUGUUUGGCUUGCCAUGAAGAAUUAUACUGGCUGUUUUGACCUCUGGAGGAAGGCUGAGCCCUUUGGCAUCACAUGUGUUUGCAGCUCGUCAAGCUGGCUGGAUAUCCCACCUCUCCAUGCCCUAUAGCUCUGUCUCGGAACCUGUGAUUGCUGUGAAUUGUGUCAUCUGCACACAGUUCACUAACCAGUUAUGUAUAGACUGGUUAUGCUACAUUUAGUAGUUUGUGUUUUAUUCUGACAGUUGGAAAGCCACAAGAGAGUUUUAAGUUGGGGAGUAACAAAUAAAUCUAUAAUUUAAUGGGACUACCAUGCCUGCUUUGUGACAAAUGGAUCACUAGAAGGCAGAAAUUGUAGUGGGGUGACCAGUUUGAAGGAUGUUGAAAUGACUGCAAAUAAACAAGUUUCACAGGUUCUUUAAGGAAAAAAAAAAAAAGAAAUAGCUGACAAUUCUAUGCCCAAUCAAGUUGUCAUUGAGAUAAAGUUAACAGAAUGUUUGUUAAUAUAUAAAAUGUUUAAAUUAAAUGUUAAAUAUAUUAAAUAAAAUCUAUUGUAAAAAUAAAGCUCUAUGUUAAAGCAAAAGGAAUAAUGGAAAUGGAAUGAGGGGAGAAAACAUACCAAAUAAAUCAAGUAAAAUAUCAAUAGUUAAGUUUUUCUCUUUUCAAUUAUUAUUUCUAGAAGAACUAGUUUAUGUAUUACUUUUAUACA